UACGUAGGUGGCAAGCGUUGUCCGGAUUUAUUGGGUUUAAAGGGUGCGUAGGCGGUCCUAUAAGUCAGUGCUGAAAUAUCCCGGCUUAACCGGGAGGGUGGCAUUGAUACUGUAGGACUUGAGUGAAGUCGAGGUAGGCGGAAUUGACGGUGUAGCGGUGAAAUGCUUAGAUAUCGUCAAGAACACCGAUAGUGAAGACAGCUUACUAGACUUCAACUGACGCUGAGGCACGAAAGUGUGGGGAUCAAACAGG
rnacentral:rRNA from 1 species